GUGCAAGGAGACAGUUGUAUAUGAUAAUUUUUGUCAAGAAGUAGGCGGUCUUCCACCACAGACUGAAGCCUCUUUUGGAAAUGUCUCUGAAAAACUCUGCAACAUCAGCAUCUCUCAAUACAUCUGUUCAUCAGUAAGGCCUCUAAGAACCCGUUGCAAAAUUCCUCUUGGCAAUCCUCUCCUUAUGCAGCAUGUUGUCAUUUACGUAACCAUUUAAAAUUG